rnacentral:Y_RNA from 1 species
GGCUGGUCCGAUGGUAGUGGGUUAUCAGAACUUAUUCACAUUAGUGUCACUAAAGUUGGUAUUCAACCCCCCACUGCUAAAUUUGACUGGCUUUUU